GACGAACGCUGGCGGCAUGCUUAACACAUGCAAGCCGAACGGAACCGUCCUGCCUAUGUGCGCUCCUCGACUUACCACCGGGGGACUAACACGUGGGUAACCUGUAAUUCACCUUAGGAUAACUUCAUAACACUUAAUGUAAUAGCGGCAAGGAGUUCCCGCCUCAUGGUGGGCGUUGGAAGGUUUCGGCGGUUGGUAAUGGACUCGCGACUCAUCAGGAUGUUGCAGGGGUAGUGGCUUACCAAGGCUUUGACGGGUGGCCGGCCUGAGAGGGUGACCGGCCACAUUGGGACUGAGAUACGGCCCAGAAUCCUACGGGAGGCAGCAGUGGGGAAUAUUGCACAAUGGGCGGAAGCCUGAUGCAGCAACGCCGCGUGCGGGAUGACGGCCUUCGGGUUGUAAACCGCUUUCGCCUGUGACGAAGCGUGAGUGACGGUAAUGGGUAAAGAAGCACCGGCUAACUACGUG
rnacentral:rRNA from 1 species